rnacentral:tRNA from 2 species
GUCCCUGUAGCUUAACCAUAAAAGCAUAACACUGAAGAUGUUAAGAUGGUUUCCUAAACCCAUGGACA